AUGACCCUGUAUCUCCCCCAGCGCUUAGAACGGUGCUCUGCACGUAGUGAGCGCUUAACAUUAUCAUUAUUGUAUCCACCCCAGCGCUUAGUACAAUGCCUGGCACGUAGUAAGUGCUUAAUAGAUACCAUAAUCAUCAUUACCGCCACGAUGGGUCCACUGGGUCUUCCGGCCCUCCUCCUGAUGAAAUCAAGGUUCAGGCCCCGUAAGAACCGUGGGAAGUCUGGGGAUUGGACCCCGCUCAGUCUGUUAGGGAAAUUCAUCCAUUCAGUCGUAUUUAUUGAGCGCUUCUUGCGUGCAGAGCACUGUACUAAACGCUUGGAAAGUACAAUUGGGCAACAGAUAGAGACAAUCCCUACCCGACAGCGGGCUCACAGUCUAGAAAUAGGCUGGGGCUCAGUUUACCAAAUUUCUCUUUCAAGGAAAUGGAGAAGCGGCGCCCGGCUGCCGGCGGCCACUGGAUCCCACGCCACGGCCCGUCCGAGCCCACGCUGGAAGGCUUCGCGGGGGCUCUCCAUCCGGUGGAAAGCUGCCAGCGGCAAUAAAUCACCUCCCCAGGGGAGCGCCGCAGCGCGUUUCCACCCUCGAGGAUUUCUGCCUCAUUUCUUUACCGUCUCCACGUGCACGUCUGGGGCGGGAGGUGGGGACUGGGGAGAGGGGGAGGGCAGGGCCUGCUGGUUCCCUGGUCCCUUUCAGGGUCGGGGAGUUUCCUCUCGAAGCAUCAGUUCCCGAGGCAGGCCGAGGCCGGGGGUCCCGGGCGCUGGGAUAAGGUGCAGAAUGGGGACACUGGGCUGGUGGGGGAAGCCCUGCCGAGGAGACCCCCUUCCUUCCUUCCUUCCUUCCUUCCUUCCUUCCUUCCUUCCUUCCUUCCUUCCUUCCUUCCUUCCUUCCUUCCUUCCUUCCUUCCUUCCUUCCUUCCUUCCUUCCUUCCUUCCUUCCAUAGUAUUUAUUGAGCGCUUACUAUGUGCCGAGCACCGUACUGAGCUCGUGGAACGUACAGUUCGGCAACAGAGACAAUCCCUGCCCAACGACGGGCUCGCGGUCUAA
rnacentral:lncRNA from 1 species